rnacentral:rRNA from 1 species
GAUGAACGCUGGCGGCGUGCCUAAUACAUGCAAGUCGAGCGAACAGACGAGGAGCUUGCUCCUCUGACGUUAGCGGCGGACGGGUGAGUAACACGUGGAUAACCUACCUAUAAGACUGGGAUAACUUCGGGAAACCGGAGCUAAUACCGGAUAAUAUAUUGAACCGCAUGGUUCAAUAGUGAAAGACGGUUUUGCUGUCACUUAUAGAUGGAUCCGCGCCGCAUUAGCUAGUUGGUAAGGUAACGGCUUACCAAGGCAACGAUGCGUAGCCGACCUGAGAGGGUGAUCGGCCACACUGGAACUGAGACACGGUCCGGACUCCUACGGGAGGCACCAGUAGGGAAUCUUCCGCAAUGGGCGAAAGCCUGACGGAGCAACGCCGCGUGAGUGAUGAAGGUCUUCGGAUCGUAAAACUCUUUUAUUAGGGAAGAACAAAUGUGUAAGUAACUAUGCACGUCUUGACGGUACCUAAUCAGAAAGCCACGGCUAACUACGUG